AUGUAUGUUUGCGUGUCAUGUGAAUGUUGUGUAUUGAGAGUUAGGAAAAACAGAAGAAGAACGAGUAGUAGUAUGGAGAGUGUAUCCAGAGUGUAAAGAGGAAAGAAACGCUGUGUGCUAAGAAACAAAGUAAUUUCUCAAAUUGACGCUUUUCUGAAUUAUUUUCCCAACAAAAAGUAUUAGAAAAAACUGAUUGAAAGCACUUAUAAUGCCAAUCAGUGUCAACUUAUAAUGAAUGGAACAAUAAAAACAACGCAAUUCUACAUCCUAACCACACACACACAUACAUGUGGAAAAUAAGUCGUGCAAGAUACUCUGUCAGUUGCUGAGAAAUUUUUUUAUAAAAUUACAAACUAUGGUCAUCGUGCUCAAUGUUUUUCACACACCCAAAUAGCACCUGGGCACAAAUGCAAGAUAAUGAGGAAAAUGAACAUGAAUUUAUUAAAAAAGAAAUACAAUGAAAUCUAAUAAUUGACUGAAACAAUCAGAGUCAAAUAAUUGUCAAUCUAAAUUAAAUAUUAAUAGAAAUAACCUCAGGCGACUUCUCAUCAAAGCACAUUUUCGAAAAUGCGAAAGUAGUGUUCAAACUUGUUGUUUUGAUUAAAAAAUCUGCCUGUCGCGAAAUAUCUUCUUGUACAUAAAAUUUCAUACAUUUUUCUACGGAAAAAAUAUUCUAAUCUGCUAUACUUUAAAUCCCAUUGAAGUUCAUAAUUAUAAAUUCAAUUAAUUAAAUUAUUUAAUACUGUUAAUAUAACUUCCUAUUAUAAAAAGGAAGAUGAAAUUGAAAAUUAUUAAUUAUUAAAACAAAAUAUAUUACCGGUAUCAAUAAGUAAUAAUUGCAUCUUUCGCAGCAAUGAAGUCAAAAGGACAUGAUUGAGUGACCGAAGAAACAUAAGUGCAUGCGACUCACGCGACAGAUGUGAAGAAUCCUCGAUGCUGCACUGGAACAGGGAAAGUUAUCGUGAAGUCUCCCAUCAAGUAGAUACCAUUUGCCAUGAUGGUAAUGGACGCGUGAAAAAUUUCUAAAAGAAACAACAUUUUGUUUCUAAAGACACAGUGUUAUUUGUCAA